UCCUGGCUCAGAUUGAACGCUGGCGGCAUGCCUUACACAUGCAAGUCGAACGGUAACAGGUCUUCGGAUGCUGACGAGUGGCGAACGGGUGAGUAAUGCAUCGGAACGUGCCCAGUCGUGGGGAUAACGCAGCGAAAGCUGUGCUAAUACCGCAUACGAUCUAUGGAUGAAAGCGGGGACCGUAAGGCCUCGCGCGAUUGGAGCGGCCGAUGUCAGAUUAGCUAGUUGGUGGGUAAAGGCCCACCAAGGCGACGAUCUGUAGCUGGUCUGAGAGGACGACCAGCCACACUGGGACUGAGACACGGCCCAGACUCCUACGGGAGGCAGCAGUGGGGAAUUUUGGACAAUGGGCGCAAGCCUGAUCCAGCAAUGCCGCGUGCAGGAAGAAGGCCUUCGGGUUGUAAACUGCUUUUGUACGGAACGAAAAGGUCCGGGUUAAUACCCUGGGCUCAUGACGGUACCGUAAGAAUAAGCACCGGCUAACUACGUG
rnacentral:rRNA from 1 species